rnacentral:rRNA from 1 species
ACGAACGCUGGCGGCGUGCUUAACCCCUGCCAGUCGAACGGAAAGGCCCUGCUUUUGUGGGGUGCUCGAGUGGCGAACGGGUGAGUAACACGUGAGUAACCUGCCCUUGACUUUGGGAUAACUUCAGGAAACUGGGGCUAAUACCGGAUAGGAGCUCCUGCUGCAUGGUGGGGGUUGGAAAGUUUCGGCGGUUGGGGAUGGACUCGCGGCUUAUCAGCUUGUUGGUGGGGUAGUGGCUUACCAAGGCUUUGACGGGUAGCCGGCCUGAGAGGGUGACCGGCAACAUUGGGACUGAGAUACGGCCCAGACUCCUACGGGAGGCAGCAGUGGGGAAUAUUGCACAAUGGGCGGAAGCCUGAUGCAGCAACGCCGCGUGCGGGAUGACGGCCUUCGGGUUGUAAACCGCUUUCGCCUGUGACGAAGCGUGAGUGACGGUAAUGGGUAAAGAAGCACCGGCUAACUACGUG